CGUUUUUGGUGAAGAUCAAGUUGCUCCUCUUGGUAUAUAAACCCUUGAAAAAAAAUAUCAAAGGAGAAGUGUUUGAGGAAGUGGACAGAUUUGGUUUGUUUACGGCGUAGACGAUUCGAACGUCCCCAAGUUGUGAUUGAACUGUUUUAUGGUAAAACACCAAGGAAAUGUUCGGGAUGAAAUCUGAAGAUGUCCAGGGUGAAUUGGUCUUUUGGAAGAACUUAUGAAGAUCACAUUUGCAUAUGCACCUUGGUUUUGCAUAGUUUUGGGACGUAUACAUGAUGUACAGGAUAUACAGAAUAUAUACAUAUAUAUAUGUCACACUUAUGCUAUUUGGAGGCUUGUUGGGUUUUAAAGAAAAAAAAAAUCUUGUAACUUGAAUUUGUAACUUACUUUAUUGUAUUAGGGUAUUUUAAUGACUCAGGUCUUGUAAUAUGCUGAAUUUACACUUUGUCUUGUAAAUAUGUAGAAAAGGAGAAAACUAGUUUCCCUUUCUUUAUACCCGAUAGUUUAAAAUUUAUGUAUAAUACAAACUUGCAGUGAUUUUGAAUGAGUGUAUAAAUUUGUUAGAAAGUUGUUUUAAA